rnacentral:rRNA from 1 species
GGACGCUAAUACCGCAUACGUCCUACGGGAGAAAGCAGGGGAUCUUCGGACCUUGCGCUAAUAGAUGAGCCUAAGUCGGAUUAGCUAGUUGGUGGGGUAAAGGCCUACCAAGGCGACGAUCUGUAGCGGGUCUGAGAGGAUGAUCCGCCACACUGGGACUGAGACACGGCCCAGACUCCUACGGGAGGCAGCAGUGGGGAGUAUUGGACAAUGGGGGGAACCCUGAUCCAGCCAUGCCGCGUGUGUGAAGAAGGCCUUUUGGUUGUAAAGCACUUUAAGCGAGGAGGAGGCUUACCUGGUUAAUACCUGGGAUAAGUGGACGUUACUCGCAGAAUAAGCACCGGCUAACUCUGUGCCAGCAGCCGCGGUAAUACAGAGGGUGCAAGCGUUAAUCGGAUUUACUGGGCGUAAAGCGCGCGUAGGUGGCUAAUUAAGUCAAAUGUGAAAUCCCCGAGCUUAACUUGGGAAUUGCAUUCGAUACUGGUUAGCUAGAGUAUGGGAGAGGAUGGUAGAAUUCCAGGUGUAGCGGUGAAAUGCGUAGAGAUCUGGNAGNGAAUACCGAUGGCGAAGGCAGCCAUCUGGCCUAAUACUGACACUGAGGUGCGAAAGCAUGGGGAGCAAACAGGAUUAGAUACCCUGGUAGUCCAUGCCGUAAACGAUGUCUACUAGCCGUUGGGGCCCUUGAGGCUUUAGUGGCGCAGCUAACGCGAUAAGUAGACCGCCUNGGNGNNGNANGUNACGGUCGCAAGACUAAAACUCAAAUGAAUUGACGGGGGCCCGCACAAGCGGUGGAGCAUGUGGUUUAAUUCGAUGCAACGCGAAGAACCUUACCUGGCCUUGACAUACAGAGAACUUUCCAGAGAUGGAUUGGUGCCUUCGGGAACUCUGAUACAGGUGCUGCAUGGCUGUCGUCAGCUCGUGUCGUGAGAUGUUGGGUUAAGUCCCGCAACGAGCGCAACCCUUUUCCUUAUUUGCCAGCACUUCGGGUGGGAACUUUAAGGAUACUGCCAGUGACAAACUGGAGGAAGGCGGGGACGACGUCAAGUCAUCAUGGCCCUUACGGCCAGGGCUACACACGUGCUACAAUGGUCGGUACAAAGGGUUGCUACUGCGCGAGCAGAUGCUAAUCUCAAAAAGCCGAUCGUAGUCCGGAUCGCAGUCUGCAACUCGACUGCGUGAAGUCGGAAUCGCUAGUAAUCGCAGAUCAGAAUGCCGCGGUGAAUACGUUCCCGGGCCUUGUACACACCGCCCGUCACACCAUGGGAGUUUGUUGCACCAGAAGUAGGUAGUCUA